rnacentral:rRNA from 1 species
UACGUAGGGUGCAAGCGUUAAUCGGAAUUACUGGGCGUAAAGCGUGCGCAGGCGGUUCUAUAAGACAGAUGUGAAAUCCCCGGGCUCAACCUGGGAACUGCAUUUGUGACUGUAGAGCUAGAGUGCGGCAGAGGGGGAUGGAAUUCCGCGUGUAGCAGUGAAAUGCGUAGAUAUGCGGAGGAACACCGAUGGCGAAGGCAAUCCCCUGGGCCUGCACUGACGCUCAUGCACGAAAGCGUGGGGAGCAAACAGG